rnacentral:rRNA from 1 species
UACGUAGGUGGCAAGCGUUGUUCGGAAUUACUGGGCGUAAAGCGCGCGUAGGCGGCUCUUCAAGUCAGGCGUGAAAGCCCCCGAGCUUAACUCGGGAACUGCGCUUGAUACUGUCGAGCUAGAGUGUGGAAGGGGCGAUUGGAAUUCCGUGUGUAGCGGUGAAAUGCGUAGAUAUACGGAGGAACACCAGAGGCGAAGGCGGAUCGCUGGGCCAACACUGACGCUGAUGUGCGAAAGCUAGGGGAGCAAACGGG